rnacentral:rRNA from 1 species
AUACAGAGGGUGCGAGCGUUAAUCGGAAUUACUGGGCGUAAAGCGCGCGUAGGCGGUUUGACAAGUCGAAUGUGAAAGCCCUGGGCUCAACCUGGGAACUGCAUUCGAAACUGUUAGACUUGAGUAUGGUAGAGGGAAGUGGAAUUCCAGGUGUAGCGGUGAAAUGCAUAGAUAUCUGGAGGAACACCAGUGGCGAAGGCGGCUUCCUGGACCAAUACUGACGCUGAGGUGCGAAAGCGUGGGGAGCAAACAGGAUUAGAUACCCCGGUAGUCC